CUUGGUCAUUUAGAGGAAGUAAAAGUCGUAACAAGGUUUCCGUAGGUGAACCUGCGGAAGGAUCAUUAAUGGAUUUUUAAAAGGGGGAUUGGUAUAGUGCUGGUCAUUUUGUUUUGGCAAGUGCACAUCCUUCCCUUAUCAUCCACUUUUACCACUGUGAACCUUUAGUAGGGCUGGAAACAGCUCUAUGUUUUUUUACACACCAUGUAUAACCUUUGAAUGUUUUUUUACUUUUAAGUACGCUUGCAAGGGCAGAAAGAAAAUAAAUAAAAAAUACAACUUUCAACAACGGAUCUCUUGGCUCUCCCAUCAAUGAAGAACGCAGCGAAAUGCGAUAAGUAAUGUGAAUUGCAGAAUUCAGUGAAUCAUCAAAUCUUUGAACGCACCUUGCACCCUUUGGUAUUCCGAAGGGUAUGCCUGUUUGAGUGUCAUUAAUAUUCUCAACCAUUGGCUUGGGUUUUUUUCCCUUGACAAUCGUGUUGGAUUUGAGGGUGUUGUGUCGGACCACUUCAAUUAUUUUUUUGAAGACGGUCGACUCCCUUUAAAAGCAUUAGUGGGUUUGACCUUUGUGGAUAUGCCUCGAUCUGAUAACUAUCAAGAUGUCGUCGCAGUGAAACAAUAAGCCUGCUUUCUAACCGUCCCUGACAAGGACUGCUCUAUUUUAUUGAGCAACAAGAGUCGCUGCUUUCGGGCUUGACUUGUAACAAAAUAUUUGACCUCAAAUCAGUAGGACUACCCGCUGAACUUAAGCAUAUCAAUAAGCGGAGGA
rnacentral:rRNA from 1 species